GGACCUGGAGCAGGUGACAUACUAGGGCCGAGUGGCUGCAUUGGUCCAGGUGGUGGAACUCCAAUAGGCCCAAAAGGUGAUCCCAUUAAGGGCAAUGGUACCUGUUGGUUGUCUCUACCAGAUGCCCUACCCCUUCCUCCUCUCCCUACCCUGCUUCCUUUUACUCCCAGUGGAGGACCUCUAGAGAAAGACCCUGGUUCCUGGUUUCCAUACGGAGGCUGUGAACCACCACUGGAACUAUGGCCACCAGCACCUCGACCAGACAUAGCCCCUCUCUGUCCUCUUCCUUUCCCUGCCUGGUAGUCCAUUUCAUCCCUCCAUGAACUUGGAUCUCGAAUAGACAAACCUUCAUCAGCAUACCUCUCCUUCGUAUCAUCAGCAGAAGGCGUAGAACCAUAUAAAUCAUGUCUUCUUGCUCUUUCAUCACGAAUAUGUACCCACUCUUCAGAUUUCGGUGCUGAUUUCCCAUCAGAUUGCUGACC
rnacentral:misc_RNA from 1 species